UUGAAUAAUCUGAUCCAAUUUUAAGCUUCAAUUCAUUUCAUUGCUUGAAAUCAAAAACUUGGAAAGACUUGGCAUUUUAAAGACUUAGCAAAAUGUUGCUUUCUGCCAAAACAACAAAAUCCCAUUCUCCCUUCCAUUACAAGUACAAACAGUAGAUGGGUUAGUAGGAGAUUUUGUUCAAUCCAUUCCAAGACAACAUGAAAGGUUAGAAGAUUGAUUUUCUUGAUUUGGACAAAAGGGACUAACGUCCCAAAAAUUUAGCCAAGCAGAAACAAUUUUGUUUCAGUUUUAUAGAUUCCAAGCAACAAUUUCGUUCAAAUUCAAAGAAGCAGAAGCUUCGUUUCGUGCAAAUAAUUCAAGGAAUAGGUAUGUUAAGGUCUCCCUUCUUUCUUUUGGCAUGGUCCAAGCUAUACUGAAGAAACGAGCAAAUACGCAGUUUCUAUAAAUUACUCUAUUUAUAGAAAUAGUAGGGGUGUCUAUAUUCUUGAUUCCCCACGUAUUAUUAUCUUUUGUUUAUGGGUCUCAGAAUAAUACACAGUUGGAAAAGUUUAUCCAGAAGGAAUAUUGAGAUUGUUUUACGUAUUUUUCAUGCAUUUCACUCAUUUAUACAUGUGCAUUGACCCAUGACCAGAUGGUGCUAUAUACGUGUAUAUAUGUAAAUAUAUGUAUAUGGGAUAUGGGAAAAGGUUACGUCGUUAUAUACGCAUCACCACCUAAUCAGCUGGUAUAUGUUGAUGAUGUUGCCCACAGUGGCCGAGAUGAUAUGAUGGGAUGCCCUCAGUGGCUUGAUGAUAUUAUGUACACCCAUACUUAUGCAUGGAACGACAUUUAUACGCACGUGCAUGACAUUAUAAACGUUUUAGAAUUUAUAAAGUUAUUUAGAUUUAAAGAUGUGUUUCCUUAUUCCAUGUUUCAUCUAUGUCUUUUACGUACUAAUUUUUAUGACUUACAUACUCAGUACAUUUUUCGUACUGAUACUCUAUUUCACGGGGCCUGCAUUUCAUGCCCGCAAGUGCAGGUUGGCAAGCUGGCGAUCCCCCUUCUUAGGAUUCUUGAUCAGCGAGAGUUGGCGUGCUCCACUUGAUCCGGAGCUAUUUUUGUUUUGGUACGAUAUGUUUGUAUAUAUGUAUGUAUAUGGGUAUGACGUGGCUCAAUCCUGUCUUUGUACAGUUAUGUUUCUGUUAGAGGUCUAUGUACAGUAUAUCUAGUUAGGUUGUAUGUGGCUUUGUCGGCUUUCAGGUUUGGAUGUAUAGUUGUCUAUAGCAGCCUUGCCGGCUCGCCCACUAUAUUCUGCAUGUAUACGUACAUAUGUCUUGAUGUCAGGUUUCCUUUACGUAUGUUAUUUUCAUAAUGUAACAGAUGUUAUUCAGGUUCAUAUCUUAGACGCAUGCUUAGGGGUGUUUGACAGGUAGGACUCAGGCACCCGUCGUGGCUCAUCGGUUUGGGUCGUAACAAAAGUGUUAUCAGAGCAUUUCUAUCUUAGGGUUGUCCACAGACCGUGUCUAGUAGAGUCUUGUUUAUGGGUGUCGUGCACUACACUUAUAAACAGAAGGCUACAAGACAUAUAGGAUGUUAUCCUCUCUUUUUAUCUCAGAUCGUGUGAUACAAGAAUUCAUGUUCCUAACGAUACGUUUGUUACACCUUCUUUUUUACCUAC
rnacentral:lncRNA from 1 species